CUCUAUUUAGUAGCAAAUGGUUUAAGAAAUACUAAUUGGUACAAACAUAUAGUCCUGUGCUAGGAUUUUCAGAAGCCCCAAUUUUUUUUAUCUUGGUGCUUGUAUGAAGAAUUCAUAUGCUGUAGGAGGGAAAUAAAUCAACUAAUCAGAAGAGUUCAAUAGUGAAAUCUUCAUUUUGGAUUGAUUUUCUUAGCUGUUUAUGCACUGCCCAUCUGCAUACACAAGUGAUAUGUCUCCAAAAACAGGUGAUCGAAACAGGUGACGCAAACUAGGUGGUGAAACUAUAAAAUCUCUAUUUACAGGUUUACUCACUUAUUAGUGAAUUUGUGGAAAACACAACUGUUAGGGUAAAACAGACAGACUAGAAACAUGUUCUAAUAACGCAACUACAUUUUUUAACUCAAUGCCUGUGAUCACAGGUUUUAUAGUACAGCAAAAGUACGUUGUGUUGUUAUAUUAUAUGUCCAGCCAAAAUAGCUAAGCAGGAAAAAUAGCUAAGUAGGAACAUUUGUCCAAUUUAGUUACUUCGGCCUGAAAUUUGCCAUUCUUAAUGUAUUCCUGAAAACUCACAGUAUACUCAAUGACCCUAAUAAGGUGGUUCACCAAACCAGAAAUGUAUGGAGAAUGGCAAAUAUUUCGGCAAAAUAGCUGGAUGGCGGAAAAAGUUCCAACUCGCUUAGCUAAACAAACACUCAGAGCUAUUAACUAAAGUGAAAAUUUAAAGUGAAUGUCAAAAUUUAAGGCCAGAGUAGUCAAACUGAAAUUGUAGCUGAAUUAGAGAAUUUUUCCAGUUUGGCUAUUUUGACUUUAAAUUUGAAAUUAAUUUUUAAUUCACUUUGCAUUCUUACUUUAGUAAAUAACCCUGAUAAUUUUCCCCAAGAGUUAAAUCAGUGUGGAUGCUGUGGUUUCUGUGGGAGUGAUGUUAUGGCCUUUGAUGUUAUGCAAAGGCCAUGAUGACACAGUACACAUGCAUGUGUAUGCAUUUACAAGCAUGCUUUCCUAGAGUGGCUUUGUCACCUUUGGGAGAAGGGUGUGUCAUGGCUAUUUUACAAAGUCCCUGGAAGGUGACAUCCCUAAUCGGUAUAAAGCAGCUGGGAAGUGUAAACUAAGGUGUAUACAUGACUGUCGGAUCCUUCAUAGACCAGUCCGCAUUAAUGUAGGCGGACAUGACAAAUUCCAAAAGUUGUUAUAGUAACAGCUGUGGGAAUAAUAAAACUGACAACAUUUGACACUUUAUAUAUUUAUAUUUACC